rnacentral:lncRNA from 1 species
UCCGCCCCUUCUUUUGUUGUUGUAUUUAAUUAUUUAAGGUUUCAGUUUUAUUUAACUUAACUUUCAGAGUUUCUUCUUUGAUAAACUAGAACCUUGUAAUGGUUGUAACUAAAUAGUUCUAACUUCACUCCAGGGAACAACUCAAAAAGGGUUUCUUUCUUUUUUUUUUUUCAUUUUUUAGAACUUUUGUGUUUGUGUUGUCGUAAUUUUAGGUUUUUUCUUUUUUUUUUUUUUCACUAUUAAUUUGUCCUAGGAUUGAUCAAAUCAAUUAGGUAUUGGGCUGCACGUAUUAUAGAAAAUAAAAAAAAAAAAUUCUUAUUGUUUAUGGUGGGGUGAUGGGGAAAAUAAGAAUCCCCAUCCUGGGAAUAAAAAAAUAGUAAAAUAAAAAGAAAGGUGAAACUUUCUAGUUUGUCUUGAUUCCGUUUUC